rnacentral:rRNA from 1 species
AACGAACGCUGGCGGCAGGCCUAAAACAUGCAAGUCGAACGGGUGUAGCAAUACAUCAGUGGCGCACGGGUGAGUAACGCGUGGGAACGUGCCCUUCAGUACGGGACAACGUCGGGAAACUGACGCUAAUACCGUAUAAUAUCUCCGGAUCAAAGAUUUAUCGCUGAAGGAUCGGCCCGCGUCUGAUUAGUUUGUUGGUGAGGUAACGGCUCACCAAGACUACGAUCAGUAGCUGGUCUGAGAGGAUGAUCAGCCACACUGGGACUGAGACACGGCCCAGACUCCUACGGGAGGCAGCAGUUAGGAAUAUUGGGCAAUGGGGGAAACCCUGAUCCAGCCAUGCCGCGUGUGUGAUGAAGG